GGGAUUAGGGAAGCUUCGCUGCUGUCGCUGCUGGAGUAAUUGCGGGCGGCUGUUGCAGGAAGGAUCGUAGACUCGAGGGGUGUGGAAGAAGAAGAGUCUGAGUUUGAGGCUGAAGAAGGGGCUCUCCGGGAAAAGGAGGAGGAAGAUUAAGAGGAAUGAUACGGCGGCGGAAGAGGCCACCGCCGAUAAACGGAGCUGACUGACGGCGGGGGGAGGUGGGGGGUGGGGGGCGAAAUUCCGUUAGUCUUCUCGGCAUCUUCGCUCUCACUGUUCUUCUCAUUUUUUUUUAAAUUUUAGAGAGAUCUGAAAACUGUGUGGGAAAUGGGUAAGGUUGGGGGAACAGGUGAUUGUUUUGGAAGAAGGUCGUCUCUUUACAGUGAGUCAAAGUAAUUUGUCGGUUUGUGUUUGGUGAUAGUGGGCGGUUUUCUGCUCUUUUCGGAAUUUAUUUAGUGUG
rnacentral:lncRNA from 1 species